CACGUAGGGGGCGAGCGUUGUCCGGAAUUACUGGGCGUAAAGGGCGCGCAGGCUGUUAUGCGAGUCUGCUGUGAAAUGUACCGGCUCAACCGGUGCCUUGCGGCGGAUACUGCAUAGCUGGAGUACUGGAGAGGGAAGUGGAAUUCCCGGUGUAGCGGUGAAAUGCGUAGAUAUCAGGAGGAACACCAAUGGCGAAGGCAGGUCUCUGGGCAGUUACUGACGCUGAGGAGCGAAAGCAUGGGUAGCGAACAGGA
rnacentral:rRNA from 1 species